rnacentral:lncRNA from 1 species
GCACCAUUGCACUCUAGCCUGGGUGACAGAGCAAGACUCCACCUUAAAAAAAAAAAAAUUGAAAUAGCAGUUGUGGUUCCCAGGCUAGCCUCAAGACUGCCAGUACCGUGACUGCGGCCAGGCACUGAACUUUGGGCCCUGCAUGCAUGCUCUCAUUUCUUCCCAUUUCAGAUGGCCACCAUUAUUUCUGUUUUAUGGGAGAGGUCUGUUGGCAAAGAGUCGGCCACCCAGAUUUACCACAUUUCUCUGCAGAACACUCUUUUGUUCAAUAUAAGCAGAGACCUUCCACCGGGGGCAGGAUUUGUGAUACCUGCAGUGAGCCAAGGACCAGGCUAGUUCCUGUGAUGCUGAAGAUGUUGAAGGGAAGCCCAUAACAUUACAACGUUGACCAAUCCUCCAGAAAAGAAGCUCUAACAGAGGACCCUGGCUGUCUACGGGGUUGGUAGAGUCCCCAGGAGUUCUUCAGGGACAGGCAGUCAAGGACAGCUGGUGCCCAGAGCCUCCCUGGCUUGCCCACUGGGCAGCUCCAGGGACAACUUGACCUGCCCAAUCAAAGCCAAAGGUCAGAACAGGAGGCAGAACCUCGCCCGGCCCUCUUCAAACUCCAAGGGAAAGCCUGUUCCUUGGAUCCUUUCAGAAAUAAAAACAAAAUGACA